UACAGAGGUCUCAAGCGUUGUUCGGAUUCAUUGGGCGUAAAGGGUGCGUAGGCGGUCGCGUAAGUCGGAUGUGAAAUCUCGGGGCUCAACCCCGAAACUGCAUUCGAUACUGCGUGGCUGGAGUGCUGGAGAGGAGACUGGAAUUCACGGUGUAGCAGUGAAAUGCGUAGAUAUCGUAAGGAAGACCAGUGGCGAAGGCGAGUCUCUGGACAGUAACUGACGCUGAGGCACGAAGGCCAGGGGAGCAAAC
rnacentral:rRNA from 1 species